CGCGAAAGUCGCCUUCGGGUGGCGAGUAGAGUGGCGCACGGGUGAGUAACACGUGGAUAAUCUGCCCGAUGAUCUGGGAUAACAUCUCGAAAGGGGUGCUAAUACCGGGUAAGCCCACGGGGACUUCGGUCCUUGUGGGAAAAGAUGGCCUCUUCUUGAAAGCUAUUGUCAUCGGAUGAGUCCGCGUCCCAUUAGCUAGUUGGUAGGGUAAUGGCCUACCAAGGCGACGAUGGGUAGCUGGUCUGAGAGGAUGAUCAGUCACACUGGAACUGAGACACGGUCCAGACUACUACGGGAGGCAGCAGUGGGGAAUUUUGCGCAAUGGGCGAAAGCCUGACGCAGCAACGCCGCGUGAGGGAUGAAGGCCUUCGGGUCGUAAACCUCUGUCAGAGGGGAAGAAACCCCUGUCGGUUAAUACCCGGCAGGACUGACGGUACCCUCAAAGGAAGCACCGGCUAACUCCGUGCCAGCAGCCGCGGUAAUACGGAGGGUGCGAGCGUUGUUCGGAAUUAUUGGGCGUAAAGCGCGCGUAGGCGGCCAUUUAAGUCUGAUGUGAAAGCCCGGGGCUCAACUCCGGAAGUGCAUUGGAAACUGGGUGCUUGAGUAC
rnacentral:rRNA from 1 species